CAUCAAAUAAGAUACUUUCCAAAAGAAAAAAAAAACAACCUUAAUACAGCACUUUACUUUAUCAUUUAUUAUAAACAAGUAACACAAACAAAUCACUCUCCCAUCCUUAUAAUACAACGGAUUGAUUCCCCCUUCAGCAUGUAAUCAAAUGCUUUGUUUAUAUCAGAAAAUGGGACUGAAUGUGUUAUGAACUUCUCCAAUUCCAGCUCCUUCUUCAAGUACUGUUCCACCACCCCAGGAAUGUCGGUUCGCGGUUUGUAGUUUCCAAAGAAGGUACCCUUCAGAGUCCUCUCAUUCAGGAGAUUCAUUGGAUGAGUUUUGAAUGCAUCGUCUUUGUUCGGCACUCCCACCAGUACCGCAACACCCCAACCAUCGUGGACACAUUCGAAUGCUGAGAUCAUUGCCUGAAUGCUUCCGGUGCAUUCCACACUCCGGUCCACUCCUCCAUCGGUCAUCUCCGCAAUCACCUCCUGAACAGGCUUCUUGUGAUCCUUUGGAUUCACAAACUCGUUGCAACCAAAUUUCUUCGCUUCUUCGAAUCUACUUGGAUUCAGAUCAACACCAAUAAUCCUGGAUGCGCCAGCAAUUCUUGCUCCUUCAGCAGCUGCAAGGCCAACAGCUCCAAGUCCAAAGAUCGCAACACAUGAACCC
rnacentral:misc_RNA from 1 species